AUCCUGAAGCAUUCGAUAGACUUAUUUAAAUUCAACCGACAAAUGUUAUAAGGGAGACUAAGUCUAUCUAUGGAUAACAUGCCCGUAUUUAUAUGGGACGUUAAAAGUAGAUAGUAGGUCACCCACCUGGGAGUAUCUCGGGUCUGAAUUUAUUGGGGUCGCCGGUGUUUUUGGGGAUU
rnacentral:other from 1 species